CGGAGGCAUUCUGAUCUCAGACUUCCAACCCCCUAGAACCACGAGAAAUGAAUUUCUGCUGUUUAUAAGCCACGCAGUCUAUGGUACUUGGUUACAGGAGCCUGAACUAAGACAAGGAAAAAACCUGCAAUCUUAGCACAAUGGAAUUUAAAGAAUUUACAACCAUGAAGCAUGGCUCCAGUGCUAAGCCAAGCCAGUCUUUCUCCCGGAUUCCUGCAAAACUGGAUUCUGGGUGAUACUUGGCUUUGAAGGGGUCAGCAUCUAGCAAGGCUGAACGGUCACCACCCCUCAGCCCCUACAGCCAGGAGCACAGCAUAAUGCAUUCUAGCUCCAUCCACGUCAUUGCAAACGACAAAAUUCCAUUCUUUUUUAUGGGUCACUGUGUGAGGGAGGCUGUGACACCAUUUGGGCCCUGACAGGUGAGCAGAAGUGUGUGAGGAGGUACCGGG